rnacentral:lncRNA from 1 species
AUGAGAAAUGUGUUUUACUUACAUGAGCCUGUGUUUUUCACCUCAGGUGGAGUGACAAACCCAGAAGGCCAGCUGCUGCUGUCACGCGGAGCACUGCAGGUAGACCGUGCCCAUAGCUUUGGUAACGGGCUCACGGCUCGGCUCAAGGGGACAGCAGCACGUGGGACGAUAAAGGUAAGAGAGUUUCC